rnacentral:misc_RNA from 1 species
GAGAAGAACGUAGCGAAAUGCGAUAAGUAAUGCGAAUUGCAGAAUUCAGUGAGUCAUCGAAUCUUUGAACGCACAUUGCGCCCUGUGGUAUUCCGCAGGGCAUGCCUGUUCGAGCGUCAUUUCAACCCUCAAGCUCUGCUUGGUGUUGGGCCCUGCCCGCUGCGGCCGGCCCUAAAGACAGUGGCGGUGCCGCCUGGCCCUGAGCGUAGUACAUCUCUCGCUCCAGUGCCCGGUGGUAGCCUGCCAGAACCCCAACUCUCGUGGUUGACCUCGGAUCAGGUAGGGAUACCCGCUGAACUUAAGCAUAUCAAUAAGCGGAGGA